UUUUUCUUUAAUUCUUUUUGUCAUCAUUAAAACCAAGAGUAUUCGUACAUCACAUAGAACCACACUUUUAACUGUAGUGUGAACAAGACAAACUCAUUUUCUCAUUUGGCAAGGGAAUCCACAUGAUGAAGUUAAUUGAAACCUAAAGCUUGUAUACAUAUGAAUUUCCAUUGAACUUUAUUUCAAGAUCAAUUCCUUUUGAUUUCCAAAACACCCAUAAGCUUAGGUAAUCUUGAUUCUUGAUUUC
rnacentral:lncRNA from 1 species